rnacentral:rRNA from 1 species
UACGUAGGGCGCAAGCGUUGUCCGGAAUUAUUGGGCGUAAAGAGCUCGUAGGCGGUUUGUCGCGUCUGUCGUGAAAGCUUGGGGCUUAACCCCAAGUCUGCGGUGGAUUCGGGCAGACUAGAGGCAGGUAGGGGAGAACGGAAUUCCCGGUGUAGCGGUGAAAUGCGCAGAUAUCGGGAGGAACACCGGUGGCGAAGGCGGUUCUCUGGGCCUGUACUGACGCUGAGGAGCGAAAGCGUGGGGAGCGAACAGG